rnacentral:rRNA from 1 species
GGACUACUCGGGUUUCUAAUCCUGUUUGCUCCCCACGCUUUCGCGCCUCAGCGUCAGUAAAGGACCAGGUCGCCGCCUUCGCCACCGGUGUUCUUCCCAAUAUCUACGAAUUUCACCUCUACACUGGGAAUUCCACGACCCUCUUCCCCACUCGAGUCCAGAUGUAUCAAGCGCAGCCCCCAGGUUAAGCCCGGGAAUUUCACGCCUGACUGUCCAGACCGCCUACGCGCCCUUUACGCCCAGUCAUUCCGAGCAACGCUAGCCCCCUUCGUAUUACCGCGGCUGCUGGCAC